rnacentral:rRNA from 1 species
GAUGAACGCUGGCGGCGUGCCUAAUACAUGCAAGUCGAGCGAACAGACGAGGAGCUUGCUCCUCUGACGUUAGCGGCGGACGGGUGAGUAACACGUGGAUAACCUACCUAUAAGACUGGGAUAACUUCGGGAAACCGGAGCUAAUACCGGAUAAUAUAUUUAACCGCAUGGUUCAAUAGUUAAAUACGGUUUUUCUGUCACUUAUAGAUGGAUCCGCGCCGCAUUAGCUAGUUGGUAAGGUAACGGCUUACCAAGGCAACGAUGCGUAGCCGACCUGAGAGGGUGAUCGGCAACACUGGAAGUGAGACACGGACCAGACUACUACGGGAGGAAGCAGAAGGGAAUAUUGCGAAAUGGGCGAAAGCUUGACGGAGAAACGCCGAGUGAGUGAUGAAGGUCUUCGGAUCGUAAAACUCUGUUAUUAGGGAAGAACAAAUGUGUAAGUAACUAUGCACGUAUUGACGGUACCUAAUCAGAAAGCCACGGCUAACUACGUG